GACGUAGGAGGCGAGCGUUGUCCGGAUUCAUUGGGCGUAAAGAGCACGCAGGCGGUUUGGCAAGUCGGAUGUGAAAACCCGGAGCUCAACUCCGGACCUGCAUCCGAAACUGCCCGACUAGAGGUAGGUAGGGGAGAUCGGAAUUCCUGGUGUAGCGGUGAAAUGCGCAGAUAUCGGAAGGAACUCCGGUGGCGAAGGCGAGCUGCUGGACCUCUUCUGACGCUGAGGCGCGAAAGCUAGGGGAGCAAACGGG
rnacentral:rRNA from 1 species